rnacentral:rRNA from 1 species
GACGAACGCUGGCGGCGUGCUUAACACAUGCAAGUCGAACGGAAAGGCCCUGCUUGCCGGGUACUCGAGUGGCGAACGGGUGAGUAACACGUGGGUGAUCUGCCCUGCACUUCGGGAUAAGCCUGGGAAACUGGGUCUAAUACCGGAUAGGAGCCAUUUUUAGUGUGAUGGUUGGAAAGUUUUUUCGGUGUAGGAUGAGCUCGCGGCCUAUCAGCUUGUUGGUGGGGUAAUGGCCUACCAAGGCGGCGACGGGUAGCCGGCCUGAGAGGGUGGACGGCCACAUUAGGACUGAGAUACGGCCCAGACUCCUACGGGAGGCAGCAGUGGGGAAUAUUGCACAAUGGGCGCAAGCCUGAUGCAGCGACGCCGCGUGGGGGAUGACGGCCUUCGGGUUGUAAACUCCUUUCGCUAGGGACGAAGCUUUUUGUGACGGUACCUAGAUAAGAAGCACCGGCUAACUACGUG